UACAGAGGUCCCAAGCGUUGUUCGGAUUUAUUGGGCGUAAAGAGCGUGUAGGCGGCCAGGUAGGUCCGGUGUGAAAACUCGAGGCUUAACCUCGAGAUGUCAUCGGAAACCAUCUGGCUAGAGUCCGGAAGAGGAGAGUGGAAUUCCUGGUGUAGCGGUGAAAUGCGCAGAUAUCAGGAAGAACACCAAUGGCGAAAGCAGCUCUCUGGGACGGUACUGACGCUGAGACGCGAAAGCGUGGGGAGCGGACAGG
rnacentral:rRNA from 1 species